UACGUAGGGGGCAAGCGUUGUCCGGAUUUACUGGGCGUAAAGAGCGUGUAGGCGGCCAAACAGGUCCGUUGUGAAAACUGGAGGCUCAACUUCCAGACGUCGACGGAAACCGUGUGGCUAGAGUCCGGAAGAGGAGAGUGGAGUUCCUGGUGUAGCGGUGAAAUGCGUAGAUAUCGUGAGGAAGACCAGUGGCGAAGGCGGGUCUCUGGACAGUUCCUGACGCUGAGGCGCGAAGGCCAGGGGAGCAAACGGG
rnacentral:rRNA from 1 species